CCCUCGGGAAACUGAGGUUAAUAUCUGAUAGGAGAUUUAUACUGGAAAGAUUAAUCUUUAAAAUUCGAGCCUAAGGAUGGGGCUGCGGUGGAUUAGGUUGUUGGCGGGGUAAUAGCCCACCAAGCCUUUGAUCCAUAGGGGCUCUUAGCGGAGAAGCCCCGAGAGGGAAUCUGAGACACUAUUCCCAGCCCUACGGGGUGCAGCAGUUAGGAAUAUUCUGCAAUGCGCGUAAGCGUGACAGAUUGAGUCAGAGUGCGCUUCAAUUUGGAGUGCUUUUGCUAAAUGUAAAAAGUUUGGCGAAUAAGGACUGGGUAAGACGAGUGCCAGCCGCCGCGGUAAUACUCGCGGUCCAAGUCGCAGCCAUUUUUAUUGGGUCUAAAACAUCCGUAGCUUGCUUGGUGAGUUCCUUGUGAAAUUCUAUAUCUCAAAUAUGGAGCGUGCAGGGAGUACUGCCAAGCUAGAGACUGGAAGACGUAACGAGUACGUUUGGAGUAGCGGUAAAAUGUGUUAAUCCCGGACGGACUAACAAUAGCGAAGGCACGUUACGAGGACAGUUCUGACAGUAAGGGAUGAAGGCUAGGGGCGCAAAACGGAUUAGAUACCCGUGUAGUCCUAGCAGUAAACACUGCACACUAAACAUUAGUACCUCCUCGAGAGGUAUUGGUGCUGAAGGGAAGCCGAAGAGUGUGCUACCUGGGAAGUAUAGUCGCAAGGCCGAAACUUAAAGGAAUU
rnacentral:rRNA from 1 species